UACGGAGGGUGCAAGCGUUAUCCGGAUUCACUGGGUUUAAAGGGUGCGUAGGUGGGCAAGUAAGUCAGUGGUGAAAUCUCCGGGCUUAAUCCGGAAACUGCCAUUGAUACUAUUUGUCUUGAAUACUGUGGAGGUCAGCGGAAUAUGUCAUGUAGCGGUGAAAUGCUUAGAUAUGACAUAGAACACCAAUUGCGAAGGCAGCUGGCUACACAAAUAUUGACACUGAGGCACGAAAGCGUGGGGAUCAAACAGG
rnacentral:rRNA from 1 species